CGGUUAUAGCUGGGGUUUCUGGUUGGGGGUCUGGCUCUGGCUCCCCUGGUUAUAGCUGGGGUCUCUGGUUGGGGGUCUGGCUCUGGCUCCCCUGGUUAUAGCUGGGGUCUCUGGUUGGGGGUCUGGCUCUGGCUCCCCGGAGCCCCUGGUUAUAGCUGGGGUCUCUGGCAGGGGCUCUGGCUGUGGCCCCCGGUUAUAGCUGGGGUCUCUGGUUGGGGGUCUGGCUCUGGCUCCCCUGGUUAUAGCUGGGGUCUCUGGUUGGGGGUCUGGCUCUGGCUCCCCGGGUUAUAGCUGGGGUCUCUGGUUGGGGGUCUGGCUCUGGCUCCCC